AAACUAUGUAAUGGUAAAUCGAGAGCAGUAGGUGUCUAACUUCAAAUUACCUACAUUAAACAGAGCGAAUAAUGAAUUUGUUUCUUUGUCUAAAAGUACUAAUUAACACUACACACAUACACUAUAUAGGAUAAGACAAUCUUGUGGUAAAAUCGUGAGCAAGUGUUGGUUGAGAUCAAAAGUAUAAAUCGCUGUGUAUAGUGAGUUAUCCAACAACCUAAAGAUAUAGAAAAAACGUUGCGAGCAAAUUUCCUUUAUCAAGAAGUCAGUUGGUUAGGGACCGAUCGUUUAUUACGUCUCAGGGUGGGGCGGUGGUUUUUGAG